UUGCUCUUCGGGUGACGAGCGGCGGACGGGUGAGUAAUGUCUGGGAAACUGCCUGAUGGAGGGGGAUAACUACUGGAAACGGUAGCUAAUACCGCAUAACGUCGCAAGACCAAAGUGGGGGACCUUCGGGCCUCAUGCCAUCAGAUGUGCCCAGAUGGGAUUAGCUAGUAGGUGAGGUAAUGGCUCACCUAGGCGACGAUCCCUAGCUGGUCUGAGAGGAUGACCAGCCACACUGGAACUGAGACACGGUCCAGACUCCUACGGGAGGCAGCAGUGGGGAAUAUUGCACAAUGGGCGCAAGCCUGAUGCAGCCAUGCCGCGUGUAUGAAGAAGGCCUUCGGGUUGUAAAGUACUUUCAGCGAGGAGGAAGGCGUUAAGGUUAAUAACCUUGGCGAUUGACGUUACUCGCAGAAGAAGCACCGGCUAACUCCGUGCCAGCAGCCGCGGUAAUACGGAGGGUGCAAGCGUUAAUCGGAAUUACUGGGCGUAAAGCGCACGCAGGCGGUCUGUCAAGUCGGAUGUGAAAUCCCCGGGCUCAACCUGGGAACUGCAUC
rnacentral:rRNA from 1 species